UGUAAUUGCCCAUGCUUCCUCUUUGCAGGGACCCGAGAGCAGAUACUAUACAAAGCGAUCGUGCAAGCUAAGAUCCAUCCUGCCCAUGGGCAGACAAAAAGGCAGGUCUUGGGAAAUGUCAGUUUUUCACUCUCUACAGCUCCAAGAAGAUCUACUUAGCACGGCUGGGUAUUCAGAGGAUUACAAUCCUGCCCCACUCCAGUUCGUGAUUUCCAAAAUCUGUUUACAGGGACAUCCAGCCAUUCUCACGACGUGCCCAAGCCAACGUAGACAUCACUGUUUCAGUAAUGUAUACAGGCUGAAAAUUCCAGCUCGUUCUAGGACUACUCUAUUUGGAACUUUGUCCUGCCAGGUGAUACCAAAAAUCAGUCGGAGGCAACGCAUAUGGAAGGUGUUCAGCUUCCUCUCCUGCUGUGCACAAAGGGUCCAGCCCUCACUGCAGUGCAGGAGUGUGCUCAGGACACAGGCUCUAUAGACUUGGAUCUUGGUAUGUGCCAUCAGCACAUGGAUCUCCUGUAUGGAGAAUUAGUGCAGGGAAAUAGCCCCAGAGGGAGACCACAGCUGUGAUACAAGGACAUCUGCAAGCGGGAUCUGAAGGCCUUAGUAAUAGACCUCAACAGAUGGGAAACUCUGACAUCUGAGCAUUCAGCCUAGAGGCAGGCGUUGCAUCAUGGCCUCUCCCAAUUUGAAGAGACCCUUGUCCAGCAGGCCGAGGCAAAGAGGCAGUCCCGAAACCUGCAAAGUUAGGGAGCUGGACAGGGGACAGAUUGGAUUUGUCUUCAGUGUGGAAGAGAUUGUCACUCUCGAAUUGGCCUCCUCAGCCACACUAGAUGCUGUCCUCCAUAAAGGGCGCAAUACCAUAGUCUCUCGAGACUGAAGGAUGCCUACUUACAGGGACAUAGAAAGGUCAGGUCAACUCUAGACUGACUGGGCACAGAAUUAACUAACAUGUACGUGGGACACUCACUGUUGAAAUUCAUGUCUGGUUUGCUUGUUUGUUUUUGUUUGCUCAGUUGAUUUUUCCUCCUGCAUCCAUUGGAGAAUGUGAGAACUCUGGUUGAAAAGUGCAACUCAAUAAACUUGAACCACACUUUUCA
rnacentral:lncRNA from 1 species